UACAGAGGGUGCGAGCGUUGUUCGGAAUUACUGGGCGUAAAGCGCGCGCAGGCGGCCUUUUAAGUCUGACGGUGAAAUGCCGGGGCUCAACCCCGUGCCCGCCGGAGAUACUGGGAGGCUGGAGACGAGUAGAGGCAAGCGGAAUUCCGGGUGUAGCGGUGGAAUGCGCAGAUAUCAGGAGGAACACCAAUUGCGAAGGCAGCUCGCUGGGACGUUACUGACGCUGAGACGCGAAAGCGUGGGGAGCAAACAGG
rnacentral:rRNA from 1 species